CUUACACAUGCAAGUCGAGCGGUAACAUUUCUAGCUUGCUAGAAGAUGACGAGCGGCGGACGGGUGAGUAACGCGUAGGAAUCUGCCUAGUAGUGGGGGACAACAUGUGGAAACGCAUGCUAAUACCGCAUACGCCCUACGGGGGAAAGGAGGGGAUCUUCGGACCUUUCGCUAUUAGAUGAGCCUGCGUGAGAUUAGCUAGUUGGUGGGGUAAAGGCCUACCAAGGCGACGAUCUCUAGCUGGUCUGAGAGGAUGAUCAGCCACACUGGGACUGAGACACGGCCCAGACUCCUACGGGAGGCAGCAGUGGGGAAUAUUGGACAAUGGGCGCAAGCCUGAUCCAGCCAUGCCGCGUGUGUGAAGAAGGCCUUAGGGUUGUAAAGCACUUUCAGGAGUGAGGAAGGGUGUACGGUUAAUACCCGUAUAUUUUGACGUUAACUCCAGAAGAAGCACCGGCUAACUCUGUGCCAGCAGCCGCGGUAAUACAGAGGGUGCGAGCGUUAAUCGGAAUUACUGGGCGUAAAGCGCGCGUAGGCGGUUAGUUAAGUCGGAUGUGAAAUC
rnacentral:rRNA from 1 species